GGGCCCGUAGUCUAGCGGUUAGGACGCCACCCUCACACGGUGGAGGUCCCCGGUUCAAAUCCGGGCGGGCCCA
rnacentral:tRNA from 1 species